UGUGCCAGCAGCCGCGGUAAUACGUAGGUGGCAAGCGUUGUCCGGAUUUACUGGGCGUAAAGGAUGCGUAGGCGGAUAUUCAAGUCAGAUGUGAAAUACCCGGGCUCAACUUGGGUGCUGCAUUUGAAACUGGAUAUCUAGAGUGCGGGAGAGGUAAGUGGAAUUCCUAGUGUGGCGGUGAAAUGCGUAGAGAUUAGGAAGAACACCAGUGGCGAAGGCGACUUACUGGACCGUAACUGACGCUGAGGCAUGAAAGCGUGGGGAGCAAACAGGAUUAGAAACCCGGGUAGUCC
rnacentral:rRNA from 1 species